ACAGGAAGGGGUACAUACCUGCCAAGGAUCGCACUGGUAUCAGUCAGAGGACAGCCUUUGUGAAGAUCAUUCAUGGACUUCCUCAUGAGGUUUGGCUCCCUUAUGUUUCUUUAUGGAGAGAAGGAGAGCUCUUGUGACAGCCCUCAGCCCCCAUCCCUCCCAGAGGAUCUACAAGCAAUUAACGGUUGUUGAAGGAAGAGGAGACAUUUCUUUGGUGUUAUAACUGUCUGUUGUUAAUUGCCCACGCCCCUUUGGGUAAGCACUUACUCUCUUCUAAGCAGCCCAGUUCAAUUAAACUUAUUGUGUUAAGAUCA